rnacentral:lncRNA from 1 species
CCCUCCCCGCCUUCUCUCGUUUCAUUUUUGGCGGGGGCAGCGCCGGCUGCGGAGGGAAACGCUUCGUUCUCCGCGCUCCGGGACCGGCGCCUACCGCGGUGCGGAUGCGUAUGGACGAAUCGUCGUGAAAACAGCUCUCGACGUUUUCCCCUCAAAAAAAAAAAAAAAAAAUCCAACCAAAAAAAAAAAAACCAAACCCAAACAAACCACCCACUUGGAUAAUUAAAACGGUUUUUGGCAGUAUCCAGUGUUGCUGAGGCUGAUUGAAUUCCUACUGCCAGUCCUAUUCCCAAAGGCAGCUUUUCUAAGGUGAUUCCUGACACAGGAGAUGAAUCCUGCUGCAGAUGAGGAGCACAUGUUGCCUUCACUCCUCUUCCAGCAAACUCUUCUGAGAGCAAAUCUCCCUCAAAGCUGUUCUGGUGAUCACACAGCAGAAAAAUAAUUACCCAACUGUUGGACCAGGGUAUAGUCUGAAAAUUAUGUUUUCUUACUUUAUAGAUUGAAAUAAAGAACUUU